rnacentral:lncRNA from 1 species
GGAAAUAAAAACCUUUGCUAUAAAAAGACUGGAAAAGAGUCUGAAAGCAGAGAAGUUGAAAGAUUGUCCCUCCCAGAAAAGUCUAAAGGCUUUCCUCAAUGAAAGAACAAGGUAAUUGCCCCGAGAAUCUUCCCAAGAAGUCGCCUCAAAAAUGUUCCUUCAACAAAAGUUGCAAAGUCAACCAAAGAAUUGUCCAUGAGUAUCAUCAAUUAUUCCGUGCUUGCAUAUUUCCUAAAGGACUAGAGACUAAAGUUAAAGAACUAAAGAACUGUUGCGUGCAUCACCUAAUACUCAUCAAACGAGAA